CUGUUGAUGACGAGUUCCAAACAGGACGAAACAGCUGUCCAGUGC
rnacentral:hammerhead_ribozyme from 1 species